rnacentral:lncRNA from 1 species
AGUUAUGUAGUUAAAAAACAAAAACAAAAAAAAAAGCCCUAAAGAGUAUAAUUUUCGUUUAAAGAGUGUAAUUUUUAUCUUAAAGUGUGCAGUUUACAUCUUAAGUACUGCAACUUAUGUCUAUAAUAAUGCAACGUUCUUUAAAACAGUGCAAUUUUAUUUUAACGGUGCAAUUUCAUCUUCGUCUUUCUUUUUUUAUAAUUUUCUGUUUUUAUUUUUUCUUCUUCAUUCUUUUACAAUUUUUUUUGUCACCUCUCUCUGCCAAUGGCCACGGCGCCGGCGACGACGCCACUAAGGACCCCCGCUCCGAGGUUGCGGCGCUGUAGCGAUGUGAGACCCCAAAUAGUCAUAUAUAUAAGAUAUAAUAGAACUAGAACUCUUAAUCCGGCUUAAGUAUUUUGGAUGGUGUCAAGGCCCAAGAGGCUAAGAGAGUUAAGCGUGCUAGGAUGGAAGUAGUUCUAGGAUGGGUGACCCCCUGGGAAGUUGCGGCGUCAAAAUUGGUAUCAGAGCUAAUUACCAGUUGGAAGUGUGAGAUGAGCCUCGAUUGAGCCAAGAUUAUACAGCGGGGAGAGCGAGGCUCUUAUGCUGUUGACUGUUGUGGGUGGAGCGCAGCUCACCACAAGGUCGGUUUAGGCUGGCGAGAUGAGUCUUACAUCGCCUGAUACUUGUGAGUCUAAGCCUAAUGAGGACGUCAGGGCUUAAGGGUGGGAGAUUAUGUGUAAUAUACCGAAAUUUAAUAUAAGAGUAAGUGUAAAUAAAAAUAGUGUAAGAUACUAUUUUUAUUGGACUUAAAGAGGUAAAAUAUAAGUCUGGAAUGACUUGUGUUAAAAUCGGAACGGAAACAGAAGAUUUAGAAUUUUUUAUAAGGAACGGGGCUGAUAUUUUAGCAGAAAAUUUACAGUGUCAGAAAAUUAUAAAAAUCUGGAAAUAUGUCGGGAUUAUUUUUAUGAGGCUAGAUUUAAAGUUUCAUAUCAUUCUGACACACGGAAGGUGAAAAAUAAAAUCAGAUUGCUAUCUGCUAGAGAUUUUAGUUCGGUAGAACUUUCGGUGAUAAAAAAUGGUCGAAACUGAAAGAUUAAAAUUUCUUUCUUCUUAUUAGCCUCAACCGAGCCUGACUGUCAAAUUUGAGCGCAAAUGGACAUUCAGAAGGGCUCCGGCGAAAAGUAACAGAUUCUGAGCUGCUAAACUGAAAUUGUGUAUUGUUGAGGGGGCUGUUUAUGAAAGGGAUUUUUGGUCCCUUUCUUCUUCCUCCUCAGCCGCAGCCAGCACCAACACCACACACGCAUAGAGAGGGAAAGAGAAACCCUCCCUUUCUCUCUCUAAAUAUCUCCCUACUCUCUUGAUCUUUUUCUCCCAAAUUCGGAGACUUGGUGGAGAGCGAACUUAGGAACGCGUGUGGAGCGUCGGAUCGAGCCUUCGUGCGCCCGGUUGAGCGGCGUGCUUCUGUCUCGAUGUUCACAUUUUGAUAAGCUUUUGGAAUUUGGUUUAAUCCUUAAUGCUUAGUGUUCUAAUAGCCUCUAAAAUAAUUCUAGCAUGUUUCUCCAUGAGAUUUUGGGAUAUUUGGAGAAUGUGUAGAGGCUAGGGUUAAGAUGCGGGUUUGGAGAUUAGAAGGUUUUGAUCUCAAUUAACCCUAUUAUUCCUCUAAGUGAAGAUUAGAGGAUGGCCUUUGACGACUCUAGGUCGAGAAUCGGCGAGUGUUUGGUUGCCGAUUGCGAGUUCGGGUCGAACCGGAUGACGAGUGCCGCGGGAGGCCGAUUGCAAGUGUUGACAAGCAAUCUGAGAGCGUUACGAGAUGGGUUGUGCUCACCGAAGAUAGCUCACUUACAUGUCGAAGUGGAGUGUGAUUUCCUUAUUGAUGCAUAUAAUGGUAGUUAAGUGCUAGAUGAAUUCAUGUGAUACAUGCUAGAUGAAUGCAUAAGAUAAAUGUUAAGUAAUGACUACCAUUGGACGAUGAAAAUAUGUGCAUGUUCACAUGUUUUGGGAUUAUGCUAGAUGAUAUAUAUAUAUAUGCAUGUUGACAUAUCAUGAGAUGCUAGAUGAUAUAUAUAUAUGCAUGUUGACAUAUCGUGAGAUGCUAGAUGAUAAGAUAUGCAUGUUGACAUGCCAUGAGAUACUAGAUGAUAUAUAUAUAUAUAUAUAUAUAUAUAUAUAUAUAUAUAUAUAUAUAUAUAUAUAUAUAUAUGCAUGUUGACAUAUCGUGAGAUGCUAGAUGAUAUGAUAUGCAUGUUGACAUACAAUGGGAUGCUAGUUGAUAUAUGUGCAUGUUGAGCUUGGGUCGAUAAACUCUAGGUGUCAAGUAGAUCGAGUGGCAUUUGGACUAGUGUAGUAGAAACACUAUGACAUGAACAUAGGGAUAGAUGAUUUUUCGAGUCGUUGAUAUGUGCCAUGUGAAACUAGUGUAGUAGAGACACUUGUGACAUGAGUAUUGGGAUUAGUGGAUCUCCUGUGUUGUUGUUAUCCCUAGUAUCUCCCGUGUUGUUGUUAUCCCUAGUAGAUAGGGUAUCCUCGAGUGAGAGGAUUGGAUCAUACUCACAUAGUCUGUUUGACCUUGGCAUGGUGGCCCCACCCAAGUAGCUAGCUUCGGAGUAGUAGUCGCGUUUGGGUAACAUGAUUACCCAGCAGACGGUCUCGGGUGUGUGUAGCGCAGAGUCUCCUCACCGCGAGAUUUGAGAUGUGAGUCGGGCGUAACCUUACGGUUAGCCAGUGAGAUUGGGUGACAUACAUUGUGAGCCGUGGAUGAAUCCCAGUAGAGAGGAUUUGCAUCCCAGUUGGCAUCCUAGUUGAGUGGAUUUAAGGCUGAGGUGCAUGUGAGACGUCCUUCACCUCGAGCCUGGUUUUACGCGGUAUUCCGCAGAUGAUUGACUCAAGACCGAGUCGGGUGGCUAGCUUGGUUAAGAUAGAAGAAACCUUGAAAGUAAAGAGUAAACGGUAUGGAUUAAAGGUAGAUGAAACCUUAUGAGCAGAGUUAUAAUUGACAUGAAUCUAAAAUAGAGGAAAACUUAGAAGUCAAUUGGAUGAGCUGUGAAUAGCAAGAUUGAAAGUAGAAUCGGUCGAUCUACUUAGCUUAUUGCAUGUUGAGUUGCAUAGUUGCAUGAUUUGCAUUGUUGCAUGUUGAGAGGCAUAAUAUGUAUUUUAAUACUUGCAUAUAUAUAUCUGUUCGAUAUCUGUUGGACUAACAUGUUGAAGUGCCUCCUUCGGACCUGGUGGGUCGAGCUCUUCCCUUGGGUGGCCAUAUCCACUGGGAACUAUGGACAAUAGUUCUCACCCCACGUGGUUUUGGGGUUUCAGGUUCACACGCGAGCGACGUAGUGGCGCGGGGAAAGGGCGUAGCUCCGUAGAUAGCGCCCUACCACUGAGACCAGAGAUGGCGGUACCCCGAGUUAGCCUACCUAGGGGUGUAGAAAAGAAAAAAAAACAUUAUUGUUUAAAUCUUGAUUGUAUUUGGAAGAAAAGAAAACGAAAAUGUAAUAUGUAAAAAAGAUGUGAUGUGAAUGCUUGUAAUAACUUAGUUAUUUUAUAUUUUUGAUACUUCGUUAUGCAAUCCUUACUUGAAAUCUGUUUCUGGUUAGAACCUCAUGAAUUGUAUUGAUUGUGACGCCUAGGACGUGCAGAAAAAACACUGUCCGUUCGGCGGUCCGAAUCUGACCAAAUAGGCGGGUAUCGGGAUGUGACAUUAUGAGACCUUAGAUAGUCCUAUAAAUAAAAUAUAAUAAGACUAGAACUCUUAACUCGGUUUAAGCAUUUUGGGUGGUGGCUAGGCCCAAGAAGUUAAGAGAGUUAAACGUGCUAGGAUGGGAGUAGUACUAGGAUGGGUGACCCCCUGGGAAGUUGGGGUGUCACAAGUGACCUCCAUGGCGUCGGUAUCGGCGAAGAUGCGUCAUCUUCGGAUGGGGCGGAGGAGGAGGAAGAAGGAGAGGACGAGAAGGGUGGGAAAGGGCGAAAGAGAUGUUGUCGUCGGAGACGGUAGAAAAAGGUUGGAGAGGGGGAAAAAAAAAAGUCGUAGCACUGCCUUGGCUGUCGCGGCGCGGCCUCGGCGAGAUCGAAAGCGAGGAAGGCGGAGGGUGUGCGGGCGAGGGCGAGGACGAGGGCAUGAGGGUGAGAGAUGAAGCGGGCCGUUUCCGCCUCCGCCUCUACUGCCUUCUUUGGCGAGAGAAAAAAAAUUAACAAGAGAAAAAAAAGAGGAGAGAGAAAGAGAAGAGAGAAAUGCCUUCUUCAGCGAGAGAAAAAAAAAUUAACAAGAGAAAAUAAAGAGGAGAGAGAAAGAGAAGAGAGAAAAAAUAAUAAGAGUAUUUUUGUUAGUUUGCUGAAAAUUCAGACGGAAUGUACAAAAUUGAAAAAGGCGGCCAGUUUUGCAAAAGCCCAAAAUUUGUUAAUUUUUUAUACAAAUUUACCAAACAUUAAUAUAACAAAUCAAAAUUGAGGAUCUAUAGAUAAAAAGAAUGUAAAAUAUGAAGAAAGCUAU